UGGGGAAUAUUAGUAAUGGGCGAAAGCCUGAACUAGCAACACCGCGUGUGCGAAGAAGGCCUUCGGGUUGUAAAGCACUUUUUGAGAGGAUGAGGAAGGACGGUACUCUCAGAAUAAGUCUCGGCUAACUACGUGCCAGCAGCCGCGGUAACACGUAGGAGGCAAACGUUAUCCGGAUUUACUGGGCGUAAAGCGCGUGUAGGUGGUACUGUAAGUAGAGCGUGAAAGCUCCUGGCUCAACUGGGAGAGGUCGUUCUAAACUGCCGGACUAGAGGAUGGUAGAGGGAGGUGGAAUUCCGGGUGUAGCGGUGGAAUGCGCAGAUAUCCGGAGGAACACCAGUGGCGAAAGCGGCCUCCUGGACCACUCCUGACACUCAGACGCGAAAGCUAGGGUAGCAAACG
rnacentral:rRNA from 1 species